GUGCUUUCGUUGGAGACCUUUGUUAUUGUAGAUACCACUACCUAAACUGAAUCAGUUGGGUGUAUUAUAACACAAUAAUCGGAGCACUUCCCUUUUUUGUUGCAGUAUCAACAUGAAAACAUUUCAGAAUAUUCAGUUCAGAAUACUCCAAAAACUUAAAGAUGCACUAUAGGGUCAGGAACACAAACAUGUAUUCCUGACCCUAUAGGGUUAAAACCACCAUCUAGCCCCUCUGGUCCCC